rnacentral:lncRNA from 1 species
UUCUGUAACAUUUCCGUUAAAUUUAAGAGGCCUCUAAAAUUUAACUUUUAACGGUCCUCUAAAACUUUUGGGUUAGAUUGACAUUCUGUAAACACAUAUUAUAGAGGACCGCUAAAAUAAUAUUUUUUUAGAGGAAUCCUCUAAAAGGUUUUGGAACAAAUACGGCAACGUUGCACGUUGAUCGUUUUUGAACUACUUUUAACCUAGAAAUUGACCGAAAA